rnacentral:lncRNA from 1 species
CCCCAGAAAAUGCAGAAAAAAGGCAAACACUCCAAAAAUGGAAAUUGCCCCAGAAACCCACGCUCUCUACCCCUCGUGUCCCUCCCCGCGCUCUCUCCCUCUCUCUCGUCCUCUCUCGUCUCCCCACGUUCUCUCUCCUCAUCUCUCUAGCGCGUGGAGGAGCGAUGCAGUGCAACGGAAACCUGCAGUUCUGCUCCUCCGUACGCAGCCUCCCAGUGAGCACAAGGCGACAAGAGUUUCGUCCUUCCAACGCAAGAUGGCUCCACGUAGCUUGUCCAGUACGAGAAAUUGAUAUCGACCCUCCACCUGUUUCCCGCUCGAUUUGCUCUUUUGGAUGAGGUUUGAAGGUUUUUCGGAUUUGAAUUGGAAAUGGGCCUGAGGAGCGUCCAGCCCUCUUCAUCCGUAAAACCCUAAAUUUCUCCCUAUAUAAACCCCCCACCAACCUUAGGUUGAGGUUGGCUAUUUUUAUUGGAAAUUCUUGGUUGAAUAUUCUUUUGCCUCUUCUAUUUACUUAACGAAAAUUUCUCUUUGACUUUCCUAGUUCUGUUUUUUAGAAGAGUUCAAAUUUCAGAGGUUUGAAAUUCUGAGGGGUUAGACCUUUUGGAUGAACAGGGGGAAUUAGAAACCUUGUUUAGAUUUUCUUAUCACAGAGGUGUCUACAGAGGGAGAUCUGUCUCGUGUUCUUAGAAAAGAGAUGAGGAAGUUUUCUAAGCUAGCUUGCGUUGGACUGGUGUUCGUGCUCACACGGUGGUAGUCGUCCCCAUCCCCUGCUCAUUCUCGUCCCAGCUUUGCUACGCUUAGAAAGGUUAUUCAGUCAUAUAUUCGAUGGGCAAAUCCAAAGUUUUAUGAAGAUCGAAGGAUUCCAAGAGGGGAUUAAAAGACUUCCUUAUUUUAUGCAUUUUUUUAUUUUAGUUUUGUAAUGGGCCUAAGCCCUUGUUGUAUUAUUUUCCUUCUCUUGUAUUUUCAUUUUGUAUGUUUAGACUAGGACAGGUACGAAAGAGGAAUGGGUCAAAAACCCAAAAGAAAACAGGUGGGUCCAAAACUCGAUCAUGGCGAACAGAACCCGAGUUUGGAUCCACAAUCCCCCCCUCUCUCUCUCUCUCUCUCCUUUUAUUAUUCGUUUAUAUGUUCGCUUGAAUGUCGUUAGUUAGGGUUAGAAGAAUUCAAACCCCAUCGAACGCGUUUCAUUUUAUCAAACUUAAAAAUUUAAAGCUAAGUCCUAAAAAUGAUAAUUUGUUUCAAAUUUGCAGAGAUUGUUUAGAUAAAACCAUAAGAAAGUUUAACUCAGAAAUAGACUCGCAAAAGUUGCAAGAUAAAUAUUUCGAAACUUGUAAAUUUGUCUUAAAUAUUUCAACUUGUAAAUUUAUCUAAAUGAAACUUUAAUAAGUUCAACUUAAAGAUUCGCAAAAUUUUAAAACAAAAUUAGUCAAAUAAGUUAAUCGCUGGAAAACCGUAAGUUAGCGGAGUGUCUUAGGUGCCUUACACCUUCCUAAGACACUAAAUAGGAAUCCCGAACCCUUAAAAUGUUUUCAAAAUAAUUUUUUCUGUUUAAGUUAUUUUGGAAAUAAGUUUUCUUGAUUUUUCUUAAAAAAUCAAGUGGCGACUCCUAAAAGUCGAAAAUAUCUUCAAAAAUAAAACAAACUCUUUUCGAAAUCAAUUUUUUCGAUAAAGCAUCUACAAUCUUAUUACACAUUGUGCGUGCAGAUACGCUCUAUACGACUUCUGUCUAAGAUGAGCUAGUGUGCGCUUGCACUCGUGGUUUAGGAUUUGUCACACAUGUUAGACCGGUUUUGACCAUAAGUUUAAUCGAAAUUCCUCUACUACUAGUCCGCUAAGCCUCCCCGACUCGAGUUGUCUACUCGAGUAAAGAUAUUCUACACAUCUUCCAUAUAAAGUAUUAUAUCUAGCGAAACAAUCCACAAACUAUCCCUGAUGGCUGAUAGGGUACGUUUAAUUAUUUGCAUCAUGUGCAUUUAACCUAGAAAAUCUAAUAUAGGUGCUACGUGAAAAUUAUUUUAUUAAGAAGGCCUUUACUUGUUGACCUACAUUAUAAUAAAUUUGCCUUUCAAUUUUAUUUCCAUAAAAACAAGGAACAAAAGGUUGAAAUAAAAGGG